GACGAACGCUGGCGGCGUGCUUAACACAUGCAAGUCGAGCGGUAAGGCCCUUUCGGGGGUACGACGAGCGGCGAACGGGUGAGUAACACGUGGGUGACCUGCCCUCCAGCUCUGGGAUAAGCCUGGGAAACCGGGGUACUAAUACCGGAUAUGACUCCAUGACGCAUGUUGUGGGGUGGAAAGCCUUGUGCGGCUGAGGAUGGGCCCGCGGCCUAUCAGCUUGUUGGUGGGGUGAUGGCCUACCAAGGCGACGACGGGUAGCCGGCCUGAGAGGGCGACCGGCCACACUGGGACUGAGACACGGCCCAGACUCCUACGGGAGGCAGCAGUGGGGAAUCUUGCGCAAUGGGCGAAAGCCUGACGCAGCGACGCCGCGUGAGGGAUGACGGCCU
rnacentral:rRNA from 1 species